rnacentral:rRNA from 1 species
UCAAGCGUUUAAGGGCGUGUAGUGGAUGCCUUGGCACUGAAAGCCGAUGAAGGACGUGAUAUACUGCGAUAAGUUUCGGGGAGCUGUAUGUAAGCUUUGAUCCGAAAAUUUCCGAAUGGGGAAACCCACCACUUUAUGUGGUACUUUAAACUGAAUACAUAGGUUUAAAGAGACAACCUGGAGAACUGAAACAUCUAAGUAACCAGAGGAAAAGAAAUCAAUUGAGAUUCCGUUAGUAGUGGCGAGCGAACGCGGAGUAGGCCAGUAGUUUUGUUAGAAAAAUUUGAAUAGUUUGGAAAUGCUAACCAUAGAGGGUGAUAGUCCCGUAUGAGUAAUGUCUAACAAAAUUCUUGAGUAAAGCGGGACACGAGAAAUCCUGCUCGAAUAUAGGGGGACCACCCUCUAAGCCUAAAUACUCUUCAGUGACCGAUAGUGAACUAGUACCGUGAGGGAAAGGUGAAAAGAACCCCUAUUAGGGGAGUGAAAUAGAACCUGAAACUGCAUGCCUACAAUCAGUCCGAGCCCUUUUUAGGGUGAGGGCGUACCUUUUGUAUAAUGGGUCAGUGACUUAAUUUAUUAAGCAAGCUUAAGCCAUCUAGGUGUAGGCGCAGCGAAAGCAAGUCUUAAUAGGGCGAUUAGUUUAAUGAAUUAGACCCGAAAACGAAUGAGCUUACCAUGAGCAGGUUGAAAGUUGGGUAACACCAACCGGAGGACCGAACCAGUUGACGUUGAAAAGUCUUUGGAUGACUUGUGGUAAGGGGUGAAAGGCCAACCAAAUUCGUAGAUAGCUGGUUUUCCGCGAAAACUAUUUAGGUAGUGCGUCGAAUAAAUAGAUGUUUAGAGGUAGAGCACUAAAUGGGCUAGGGGGAAGAGAUUCUUACCAAACCUAAUAAAACUCCGAAUGCUAGACAUUGUUCUUCGGCAGACAGACUGUGGGUGCUAAGGUCCAUGGUCGAGAGGGAAAGAGCCCAGACCACCAGAUAAGGUCCCAAAAUCAUGAUUAAGUGUGAAAGGAUGUGGAAAUUCCUUAACAGCCGGGAGGUUGGCUUAGAAGCAGCCAUCCUUUAAAGAUAGCGUAACAGCUCACCGGUCUAAUAGAGUUUCUGCGCCGAAGAUGUAACGGGGCUAAAAUCAUGUACCGAAUCUGUGGCUUUGCAAAGUUUUCGAACUUUGUAAGGGGUAGCGGAACGUUCUGUAAGCCUGCGAAGGGAUACCCGUGAGGGAUCCUGGAGGUAUCAGAAGUGCGAAUGCUGACAUAAGUAACGAUAAACGAAGUGAAAAACUUCGUCGCCGAAAAUCUAAGGGUUUCUAUGCAAGGUUAAUCCGCGUAGAGUUAGUCGGCACCUAAGGCGAGGGCGAAAGCCGUAGUCGAUGGAAACAAGGUUAAUAUUCCUUGACCUGAUGGUAGUGACGGAUUUCGUAAGUUGUGAGUUCUUAAUGGAUUGAACUUGCCGCGAAGAGGUCCCAAGAAAUAGCUCCAUCAUGAAGACCGUACCCGAAACCGACACAGGUAGAUUAAUAGAGUAUAUUUAGGCGCUUGAGAGAAUGAUGUUGAAGGAACUCGGCAAAAUGCUUCCGUAACUUCGGGAUAAGGAAGACCCUUUUGUAGGCAACUAUGGAAGGGUGGCACAAGCCAGGGAGAAGCGACUGUUUAUCAAAAACACAGGGCUCUGCUAACACGUAAGUGGAUGUAUAGGGUCUGACGCCUGCCCGGUGCUGGAAGGUUAAUGCGGUUGGUGCAAGCUAACUUCUGAAGCCCCAGUAAACGGCGGCCGUAACUAUAACGGUCCUAAGGUAGCGAAAUUCCUUGUCGGGUAAGUUCCGACC